rnacentral:rRNA from 1 species
AACGAACGCUGGCGGCAUGCCUAAUACAUGCAAGUCGAACGAACACUUCGGUGUUAGUGGCGCACGGGUGCGUAACGCGUGGGAAUCUACCCUUGGGUUCGGAAUAACGUCUGGAAACGGACGCUAAUACCGGAUGAUGACGUAAGUCCAAAGAUUUAUCGCCCAGGGAUGAGCCCGCGUAGGAUUAGCUAGUUGGUGAGGUAAAGGCUCACCAAGGCUACGAUCCUUAGCUGGUCUGGGAGGAUGAUCAGCCACACUGGGACUGAGACACGGCCCAGACUCCUACGGGAGGCAGCAGUAGGGAAUAUUGGACAAUGGGCGAAAGCCUGAUCCAGCAAUGCCGCGUGAGCGAUGAAGGCCUUAGGGUUGUAAAGCUCUUUUACCCGGGAUGAUAAUGACAGUUCCGGGAGAAUAAGCCCCGGCUAACUCCGUGCCAGCAGCCGCAGUAA